UACGAAGGGGGCUAGCGUUGUUCGGAUUUACUGGGCGUAAAGGGCGCGUAGGCGGCGCACCAAGUCAGGCGUGAAAGCCCUGGGCUCAACCCGGGAAUUGCGCUUGAGACUGGUGUGCUUGAGUACGGGAGAGGAUAGUGGAAUUCCCAGUGUAGAGGUGAAAUUCGUAGAUAUUGGGAAGAACACCAGUGGCGAAGGCGGCUCACUGGCUCAUUUCUGACGCUCAGGCGCGACAGCGUGGGGAUCAAACAGG
rnacentral:rRNA from 1 species